UAUUUUAUUAAUAUUUUCACCCCCUUUUAGGCCCAACUCUAAAAUCUUUAAACGGUCAAUAUUUUUUAAAAAAAACUUUCAACAACGGAUCUCUUGGUUCUCGCAUCGAUGAAGAACGCAGCGAAUUGCGAUACGUAAUAUGACUUGCAGACGUGAAUCAUUGAAUCUUUGAACGCACAUUGCGCCCCGGGGUAUUCCCCAGGGCAUGCGUGGGUGAGCGAUAUUUACUCUCAAACCUCCGGUUUGGUCCUGCUUCGGCAUAAUAUCAACGGCGCUAGAAUAAGUUUUAGCCCCAUUCUUCUUCCUCACCCUCGUAAGACUACCCGCUGAACUUAAGCAUAUCAAUAAGCGGGAGGAAAGAUAUUAACAUGUUUUUAACCCUUUUGGGCCAACUCUAAAUCUAACCGUCAAUAUUUUUUAAAAAUUUCACACGGACUCUGGUUCCGCUUCAUGAAGACGCGCGAUUGCGAUCGUAUAGGCUGGAGACGGAAUCAUUGAUCUUGAAGCCAUUGCGCCCGGGUAUUCCAGGGAGCGUGGGUGAGCAUAUUUCUCUCAACCGUCUGGGUGGUCCUGCCUCGGCUAAUACGACGGAGCUAGAAUAAGUUUAGCCCCAUUCUUCCUCCUCAGCUUGUAAGACUAACCGUUGACUUAGUAUAUCGAGGAACAGAGGAA
rnacentral:rRNA from 1 species